rnacentral:rRNA from 1 species
CUGGCUCAGAACGAACGCUGGCGGCGUGCUUAACACAUGCAAGUCGGAUGCGAACGGCGCUUUCGGGCGUUGAGUAGCAUGGCAGACGGGUGAGGAGCGCGUAUCUGACUGGACUCAGGCUGGGGGAUAGUCCCUCGAAAGGGGGUUGAAUACCGCAUGUGCUCGGUGCUGUGAGGGCAUCGAGGAAAGUUGGCCUCUGCGGGCACGCUGAUGGCCUGAGACAGGGAUGCGUCCUAUUAGCUAGCUGGUGGGGUAAGGGCCUACCAGGGCGACGAUGGGUAGCUGGUCUGAGAGGAUGAUCAGCCACACUGGGACUGCGACACGGCCCAGACUCCUACGGGAGGCAGCAGUGGGGAAUUUUGCGCAAUGGGCGCAAGCCUGACGCAGCAACGCCGCGUGCAUGACGACGCCUUUCGAGGUGUAAAGUGCUGUCGACCGGGACGAAGGGGCGAGGGUGAACAGCUUUCGCGCAUGACGGUACCGGUGGAGGAAGCCCCGGCUAACUCCGUGCCAGCAGCCGCGGUAAGACGGAGGGGGCGAGCGUUGUUCGGAAUUACUGGGCGUAAAGCGCGCGUAGGCGGUGCAGCAAGUGGUGCGUGAAAGCCCUCGGCUUAACCCGGGACGGGCGUGCCAAACUGUUGGACUGGAGUGCCGGAGGGGGAGGCGGAAUUCCUGGUGGAGCGGUGAAAUGCGUAGAGAUCAGGAAGAACGUCGGUGGCGAAGGCGGCCUCCUGGACGGACACUGACGCUGAGGUGCGACAGCGUGGGGAGCGAACGGGAUUAGAUACCCCGGUAGUCCACGCCGUAAACGAUGGGUACUAGGUGUGGGGCUUGUGAUGAGGCCCGUGCCGGAGCUAACGCAGUAAGUACCCCGNCUGGGGAGUACGGUCGCAAGGCUGAGACUCAAAGGACUUGACGGGGGCCCGCACAACGGUGGAGCAUGUGGUUUAAUUCGACGCAACGCGCAGAACCUU